CUAAAGAUAGUAUAAGGUGGUUGUACAUAAAAUUUUGGAUUUUAUAGUGCGGGUUCGUGACCCUGCUCUUUAGU
rnacentral:tRNA from 1 species